rnacentral:rRNA from 1 species
AAGUCUGGUGCCAGCAGCCGCGGUAAUUCCAGCUCCAAUAGCGUAUAUUAAAGUUGUUGCAGUUAAAAAGCUCGUAGUUGGAUUUCUGUUAAUAAUUUAUAUAUAAUAUUUUUAAUAUAUUUAUAUAAUAUUAACAUAAUUCAUAUUACUAUUUUUAGUAUAUGAAAUUUUACUUUGAGAAAAUUAGAGUGCUUAAAGCAGGCAUAUGCCUUGAAUACUCCAGCAUGGAAUAAUAUAAAAGAUUUUUAUCUUUUUUAUUGGUUCUAAGAUAAAAAUAAUGAUUAAUAGGGACAGUUGGGGGCAUUUGUAUUUAACAGUCAGAGGUGAAAUUCUUAGAUUUGUUAAAGACAAACUAGUGCGAAAGCAUUUGCCAAGGAUGUUUUCAUUAAUCAAGAACGAAAGUUAGGGGAUCGAAGACGAUCAGAUACCGUCGUAGUCUUAACCAUAAACUAUGCCAACUAGAGAUUGGAGGUUGUUCCUUACUCCUUCAGCACCUU